UAUUCUUCAACAAUGAGCUCAGCGUGAGAGGAAGAUGAGGCGGAACCAUGGAGAACAUUGUUUUCCCACACAAGGCGGCUCCAAAUGAGGCAGCGUUCACUGAGAAGAACUUCACAGAAGUCAUGUCCUCUUCAUAAAGACACAAGAUCCAACAUGGCGCUUCACACCCUGCCCCMCUCCAGCUUCCAGAGCGGUCCAUUCUAGAGGGGGCUACGGCUAUGUAGCGGCACAGUCUGACCCAGAGCAAGUUGAUAAGUCCUGACCUUCUAUCACAAACACUGCUACGUAAUACGUAGUUUGGAAAACAUCAGAGAAAACAGCAGUUCUACCGUGAAAUGGAUGCGACAAACAGACCUGCAAAGAAGGUGCAAAAUUGUGAGGAAAUGGAAAGCUUUGCAGGAAACUCACUUGAACUGCUGGUGUUCCCUGGAGCUGCGGAUCUUGGAGGAGAACCUCUCGG